rnacentral:rRNA from 1 species
AUUGAACGCUGGCGGCAUGCCUUACACAUGCAAGUCGAACGGCAGCACGGGUGCUUGCACCUGGUGGCGAGUGGCGAACGGGUGAGUAAUACAUCGGCACAUGUCCUGUAGUGGGGGAUAGCCCGGCGAAAGCCGGAUUAAUACCGCAUACGAUCUACGGAUGAAAGCGGGGGCCCUUCGGGCCUCGCGCUAUCGGGUUGGCCGAUGGCUGAUUAGCUAGUUGGUGGGGUAAAGGCCUACCAAGGCGACGAUCAGUAGCUGGUCUGAGAGGACGACCAGCCACACUGGGACUGAGACACGGCCCAGACUCCUACGGGAGGCAGCAGUGGGGAAUUUUGGACAAUGGGCGAAAGCCUGAUCCAGCAAUGCCGCGUGUGUGAAGAAGGCCUUCGGGUUGUAAAGCACUUUUGUCCGGAAAGAAAUCCUUGGCCCUAAUACGGUCGGGGGAUGACGGUACCGGAAGAAUAAGCACCGGCUAACUACGUG